AUGUAUUUUCAGUUUUCUUCACCUGUCCUAGUCAAGGCUGAUACUUCUGGGACUGCCGUGGACAUCCUGAAGCAGGGGAUCAGCAGGAAGCACCAGCAGCUGGAGGAGAAGGAGCUCCUGGGGGUAAAUAAGUAUUUCAAAUGCAGUGAGUUCGCUAAAAAGGAAGAGAAGAUCUGCCUCCAGAGAUGUGGCUACAAGGUACAGCAGCAAGAGGAGGAGGAGGAGGAGAAACCACUGACUGCAUCAAAUCCAGUGCUGGAACGUGAAGUAGCAGAGGACAAGUUACCAAUGACUCCUUCCAGACAGGAGGUUAUAAGGUGGUUACAAGAGAGGGGUGAACCCACCAGGCUGUUUGGAGAAACAGAUUAUGAUGCAUUUCAACGUAUGAGUAAGACAGAAAUUCUUGCACCUGAAGUGAAUAAGGGCCUGAGAAAUGACCUGAAGGCUGCUUUGAAUAAGAUUGAUCAGCAAUAUCUGAACGAAAUUGUAGGUGGCCAAGAAGCAGGAGGUGUUAACUCCCAGAUUGACCUGAAAGUCCAUGAGGACAUACUACAACUGAAGAACUAGAAGCUUUGGGAGAAUUUUUAGGAUGGGGUUAUGAUCACUAUCAUAUGGAUAUCAUAACAAAGUUCCUGAAGUUGCUUGUAGGAGUUUGGGCCAAGGAGUUGAAUGCCACAGAGGACUAUGUGAAAUGGGGAGUGCAGGGGAAGUUGAACAGCACCACUCAGAAACAGGUUCCUACCUGAGGCCACUCUUCAGGACACUCUGCAAAAGGACACUUCCUGCAGACAUCAAAGAUUUCCCCAUAUGUGGAAAUUAUUAAAUUCAUGUUACAAAGAGAACAUGUGAAAGCAAAAAUGCCUAUCUCCAGAUGAUCAUUGGAAAUGCUCCCUGGCCUAUUGGUGUCAACGUGGUUGGCAUCCAUACACAGAUGAGGCAGGAAAAGAUUUUCUCCAAGCACAUGGCCCAUGUGCACCAUGACAAAACUCAAAGGGAAUACAUACAGGGGCUGAAGAGGCUCAUGACCAUUUGCCAGAAGCACUUCCCAACAGACCCAUCAGUGUGUGAAGUACAAUGCUCUGUGAGGCUCUGCAGGGGCCAGGGCUCACAUUUUGGUGUCCAAGACCCAGAGAGAGUGAAAGAGGCAGUUUGUGCUUGA